GUUCAUUGCAGCGUUAUUCGCAGUAACCAAGACAUGGAAACCACUGAAUGGAUGAAUGUUCUACCUCAGGGCCUUUGAACCCGCGGCGGCACGCACGCCUCCACCUGGGACACGCAUCCCGCCUUUCUUCCCCCUGGAUUCAUUUUACCCUCCAGAACGCAGCUGAGCUGGAGGCCUCCCUCGACCUCUCAGCAGCAUCUCCUCACGUGCAGUGGCCCCACCUGGCCCGGCGCCCCCACUUGAACCCGGGCUCCGCGAAGGCAGAGGCGGGGCCAGAGCUGGGGCGAGAGAGAAGGGGAAGGCAGGGAGAAAAAGAGGGAGAGAAACAUCAACUGGUUGGUU